rnacentral:rRNA from 1 species
GACGAACGCUGGCGGCGUGCCUAAUACAUGCAAGUAGAACGCUGAGGUUUGGUGUUUACCUAGACUGAUGAGUUGCGAACGGGUGAGUAACGCGUAGGUAACCUGCCUCAUAGCGGGGGAUAACUAUUGGAAACGAUAGCUAAUACCGCAUAAGAGUAAUUAACACAUGUUAGUUAUUUAAAAGGAGCAAUUGCUUCACUGUGAGAUGGACCUGCGUUGUAUUAGCUAGUUGGUGAGGUAAAGGCUCACCAAGGCGACGAUACAUAGCCGACCUGAGAGGGUGAUCGGCCACACCGGGACUGAGACACGGCCCAGACCCCUACGGGAGGCAGCAGUAGGGAAUCUUCGGCAAUGGACGGAAGUCUGACCGAGCAACGCCGCGUGAGUGAAGAAGGUUUUCGGAUCGUAAAGCUCUGUUGUUAGAGAAGAACGUUGGUAGGAGUGGAAAAUCUACCAAGUGACGGUAACUAACCAGAAAGGGACGGCUAACUACGUGCCAGCAGCCGCGGUAAUACGUAGGUCCCGAGCGUUGUCCGGAUUUAUUGGGCGUAAAGCGAGCGCAGGCGGUUCUUUAAGUCUGAAGUUAAAGGCAGUGGCUUAACCAUUGUACGCUUUGGAAACUGGAGGACUUGAGUGCAGAAGGGGAGAGUGGAAUUCCAUGUGUAGCGGUGAAAUGCGUAGAUAUAUGGAGGAACACCGGUGGCGAAAGCGGCUCUCUGGUCUGUAACUGACGCUGAGGCUCGAAAGCGUGGGGAGCAAACAGGAUUAGAUACCCUGGCAGUCCACGCCGUAAACGAUGAGUGCUAGGUGUUAGGCCCUUUCCGGGGCUUAGUGCCGCAGCUAACGCAUUAAGCACUCCGCCUGGGGAGUACGACCGCAAGGUUGAAACUCAAAGGAAUUGACGGGGGCCCGCACAAGCGGUGGAGCAUGUGGUUUAAUUCGAAGCAACGCGAAGAACCUUACCAGGUCUUGACAUCCUUCUGACCGGCCUAGAGAUAGGCUUUCUCUUCGGAGCAGAAGUGACAGGUGGUGCAUGGUUGUCGUCAGCUCGUGUCGUGAGAUGUUGGGUUAAGUCCCGCAACGAGCGCAACCCCUAUUGUUAGUUGCCAUCAUUAAGUUGGGCACUCUAGCGAGACUGCCGGUAAUAAACCGGAGGAAGGUGGGGAUGACGUCAAAUCAUCAUGCCCCUUAUGACCUGGGCUACACACGUGCUACAAUGGUUGGUACAACGAGUCGCAAGCCGGUGACGGCAAGCUAAUCUCUUAAAGCCAAUCUCAGUUCGGAUUGUAGGCUGCAACUCGCCUACAUGAAGUCGGAAUCGCUAGUAAUCGCGGAUCAGCACGCCGCGGUGAAUACGUUCCCGGGCCU